GACGAACGCUGGCGGCGUGCUUAACACAUGCAAGUCGAACGGUAAGGCCCUUCGGGGUACACGAGUGGCGAACGGGUGAGUAACACGUGGGUGAUCUGCCCUGCACUUCGGGAUAAGCCUGGGAAACUGGGUCUAAUACCGGAUAGGACCACUGCCUGCAUGGGUGGUGGUGGAAAGCUUUUGCGGUGUGGGAUGGGCCCGCGGCCUAUCAGCUUGUUGGUGGGGUGAUGGCCUACCUAGGCGACGACGGGUAGCCGGCCUGAGAGGGUGACCGGCCACACGGGUACUGAGGUACGGCACAGACGCCUACGGGAGGCAGCAGUGGGGAAUAUUGCACAAUGGGCGCAAGCCUGAUGCAGCGACGCCGCGUGAGGGAUGACGGCCUUCGGGUUGUAAACCUCUUUCAGCACCGACGAAGCGCAAGUGACGGUAGGUGCAGAAGAAGGACCGGCCAACUACGUGCCAGCCGCCGCCGUAA
rnacentral:rRNA from 1 species